CUACUACUCUCUCCGUCCAAUAAAAGAUGUCUUAAGUUUGUCAAAAUUAGUAUGUAUCUAGACAUGACUUAGUGUAUAGAUACAUUCAAAAUUAGUCAAAGUUGAGACAUCCUUUGUUGGACGGAGGAAAUACAAU
rfam:Brachypodium distachyon strain Bd21 chromosome 1, whole genome shotgun sequence.